rnacentral:rRNA from 1 species
GAAUUUUAUAUUAUUUUUAUUUAUAGGAAUAUUAAUAAUAUUUUAUUGGGAGGAUAAUUAAAUUUAAUAAACUUUAAAAAUUUAAAAUAUAAAUUAAUAAGUUUAAAAGAUUGAAAUAAAUUCAUUAAAAAAUUAAUUACCUUAGGGAUAACAGCAUAAUUUUAUUUUUUAGUUCAUAUAUAAAAUAAAGAUUAU